GGCCAGGAGAGAGGACUCUGCCCUAGCCUCGGUGCUGGACACCUGACCUGCCUGUUCCCACCCGUGGCUCACAGCCGCCAAGGGUUCGUUUCAGGCCCCCUUAAGGAAGCAACUUCUGUCAGCCCGCCCGAGUUCCCCAAACCACAGAGCUGAUCACUGGAAUUGCAGGCAUCACAUCUUCACGUCUGCUUUUUAAGGGGGAGCCGGGCAUCGAACUCAAGGCCUGAGUCUUGUGGGACACGUACUAUCCUGACUAAGAAGGUUGUGCUCGCAUGGAUUCCCCACCACGCGUGGGUUCUGAACCCGAAGGCCAGGACUCCACUGCGCCCUCCAGGGCCAGCGCUGAGCCGAGACAACUGUCGGCCGCUGGAGUCUCCUUCAUGCCAGCUUCUGCAGUUGUCAUGGGAACUGUGUCUCCCGGGUAGCCCUGAUUCUGCGUCUCCAUCAUGGCUGGUUCCGUUGCAGUGUGGGGACGGCGAGUCGUACUGUGAUACAAAUCCAACAAACUUCUUUCCUCUCUUGGCGGCAGCAUUAAUCUGAGGUUCAAAGAGAUAGCAGGACCAAGGUAAACCCCGUGUGACUCAGGAGGCCACUGGAAGAUGGAAUCGAACUGACCAGUAACAAAGCCACACUUCUAAGUCAGCUGGGAACUGCUAGCAUCCACCACCCCCAAGGUCAUGUCUCAGUGUCAGCAUGACUCGUUACCAGAACGAAUGCUUUAGAAAUUAUAGAGAUGGGACUAUUCUUCUCUGAGAUUCCACCGUAUUUGGCAAGAGCUAGUAAUUUUAUAGCAGGAUUUUUGGGCAUGGUUAACGAAAACCUUUCCAGUUGGAGCAGAAGUAAAGACUGUUCCGGAACACUCCCCAAAGUAACUGAAGCAAAUACAGCCUCACUAUUAAAAACAAAAAGCACACCGCACGGUUUGGUGUUGAUUAAGACCGAUGUUUAGAGGCCAGCUCUUACGCACGUGCACCUGAAAAUGUGAGCCCAGGUCAUACGCAGCUGACAGGGAGCUUUCUAAGCUGCUGGUGUUCGACGUCCGCCUCUGGCCUGGCGAAGGACACAGAAUCCGAUUUGAACCUGUCCGUGAGGACACAGACUCUGAGACAGAUGGUAUGAAGUCAGAGAAAGAGUUCGGGGUCUCAGCAGCUGUGGUUUUCAUGUCUGGUACUAUUUCCAUCUGACCGCUUCUGAGACUCUUAUUUCCUCCGAGCACACAGCGCCCGAGAUCUAAGGGUUUUCUUCGGCUUUUCUCUGUUGUGACUGUUCUUUUCCUGAGUUCAGCUGGCAAUACUUCCCGGGGAAAAUACUGUGUCUUAUCUGCCUUUGCAUCGCAUUUUUUGAUAGGUGCACUGUAAACAUCCAUUAAAGAAAUGCAGAAGCACAAA